UACGGGGGGGGGCAAGCGUUGUUCGGAAUUACUGGGCGUAAAGGGCUCGUAGGUGGCCAACUAAGUCAGACGUGAAAUCCCUCAGCUUAACUGGGGAACUGCGUCUGAUACUGGAUGGCUUGGAUUCGGGAGAGGAAUGCGGAAUUCCAGGUGUAGCGGUGAAAUGCGUAGAUAUCUGGAGGAACACCGGUGGCGAAGGCGGCAUCCUGGACCGGUAUUGACGCUGAGGCGCGAAAGCUAGGGGGAGCAAACGGGG
rnacentral:rRNA from 1 species